rnacentral:lncRNA from 1 species
UAUGCCUGGCAAAGCUGUUUCUAACCCAUGCCUUUCUUGAGUUCCAAAUCUAUAAUGCAAAACCAUGCUGGGUAUUAAGAUCUCCUGCUUUGAAGAGGAAUGAGAAGGUACCUUUGACCGGAGCGUGACCUUGCUGGAGGUGUGUGGGAGCUGGCCUGAGGGCUUCGGGCUUCGGCACAUGUCCUCCAUGGAGCACACAGAGGAGGGCCUCCGGGAGCGGCUGGCUGAUGCCAUGGCUGAGUCACCAAGCCGGGACGUCGUGGGAUCAGGAACAGAGCUUCAGCGAGAGGGAAGCAUCGAGACUCUGAGUAAUAGCUCAGGCUCCACCAGCGGCAGCAUACCAAGAAACUUUGAUGGCUACCGAUCUCCGCUCCCCACCAACGAGAGCCAGCCCCUCAGCGUCUUCCCCACCGGCUUCCCCCCUCUUACCCUGGUCCUGUACUGUUCAGUGAAGGAAACUGGUCACUGAGGCCCUGUUGAAAAGUGCACGUCUUGUCCAAUAAAUCACGCUGCAAUUGGUGUCCAUCCCUCAGUUGCUGGGGUCAAGGUCCUCUCCAGAUACCAAGCAGAGUCCUGUGGGCCUGACCAUGGCCCAGCUCCCAGCACACCCUGACAUGUGCAACACACAGGGGGAGCCUGUGGGGAGUAGGGAAGGCGAGGAGAAUAUUUGCUCUCCAGUUUGGGUGAGGCCUGAUUUAAGUCCAUUUGCCAAGCUGCUUGCCUGUUACCAGAGCAGGUGAAGUCUGGGCGUGCUGGGCUUGGACUCUCCCUACUGGGGGCCUUCACGUCUGGCGCCCGAAGUUUGGUGGGUUCCUGUGGGAAGCCUCUUUUCAAGCUCAGAAGGUGCGAGGGCAGUCAGGUGAAGGUGGGUGUGUCACGGGACAUGGCUGGCACCCCGGAUGACAAGUUCCUGUUUUGCUCCUCCCUCCUCCCAGUCUGGGCCUAAGUGAAUGGCAACAAAAAGACGAGGAGAGCAAAGGGGUGCGUUCAACAGAAAGGAGAUUAGUGGUGGUCCUAGUCUCCCCUUUCCUGGGCCAUACUCCAGAUAUCCCAGGAGGCCUUGAAGGGUUGAAGGAAACCCACUGAGCCAGAAGCUGCGGUUUGGGGAGAAGUUUAAUGGAACAGCAGAAGAGGGCUUGAGUUCACAGAGAGGCAGGCCGUCCAGCUGGGCUCUGCCCGCUUCACGCCCGGCAUCCCACCCCGGGUGCCUGAGGAGAGAUUUACUCUUAGUCCCCUCCACAGGGUUGGGCACGUGGGGAGAAAGGACCUGAGUCACACUAGCUUCGAGGGCUGAGAAGCUGGUCCUUCUGGCCUGGGGCAAGAAACCCCAUGCCACAGUGAGGCGUUCGGGGAACAGGGUGGACCAGCCGGUGACAGUGGCCACAGGAGCAGUAUCUUGUCCCCAUUUUGGCUGCACUGGAAACUGAUGUGCCUGGCACUGCCCUCACCCCCAGCUAGAGCAGCAUUUCAGUCAAAAGGGGGGCCAAGGGGGUGGGUGCCACCAGGCUGCCAGUAAGUACUGUACGUGGCUGGGCUCCCUGGGG